AUUGAACGCUAGCGGGAUGCUUUACACAUGCAAGUCGAACGGCAGCGCGGACUUCGGUCUGGCGGCGAGUGGCGAACGGGUGAGUAAUGUAUCGGAACGUGCCCAGUAGCGGGGGAUAACUACGCGAAAGCGUAGCUAAUACCGCAUACGCCCUACUGGGGAAAGCAGGGGAUCGUAAGACCUUGCACUAUUGGAGCGGCCGAUAUCGGAUUAGCUAGUUGGUGAGGUAACGGCUCACCAAGGCGACGAUCCGUAGCUGGUUUGAGAGGACGACCAGCCACACUGGGACUGAGACACGGCCCAGACUCCUACGGGAGGCAGCAGUGGGGAAUGUUGGACAAUGGGGGCAAACCUGAUCCAGCCAUCCCGCGUGUGCGAUGAAGGCCUUCGGGUUGUAAAGCACUUUUGGCAGGAAAGAAACGUCGCGGGCUAAUACCCCGUGGAACUGACGGUACCUGCAGAAUAAGCACCGGCUAACUACGUG
rnacentral:rRNA from 1 species